ACGCCUAGAAGUCAGUAAGAAGUAUGUUAUAUAUAUUAUAUUGAGUAUUAUUUAGUUUUGCAUAAUGUCUAGGUCCUUUCUGCUAUCCGUAUUAUUAUUUAUUAUUCUACACAUCAUUCAUUUUGACAAGAUCUAGAUCUAAUUCUCUUCCAGAUUCCUUAUUCCUGUGGAUACACAGACUGAGACAGCCUGACUGAGGUCCAAUUUAUUCUCUUAUAAUUAGUGAAGCAGUCGACUCUACGGGUGGAUUUUGACAAGAUAGACGGGACAAGCAUUGGUGGGGAUGCUGCCUCUUCGGACACUGCAACACACAAAAUGACUACUGGAGUGCAAUUUGGAAACCAAUAGAUGCAGAAAUGUACAGUGGUCUGUGUGCCACAAUGAUUCAUCUUGGAAAAGAGAGGAAGCCAGACCCUCUGGAUGUUCCUGCUACCAACAAGAUUUUCGUAAUGCGUCAUUUAGUUGGAGAACAAGGGAAAAUGAAAAGGAGUGGUUUCAGAAACUUUUUUCAAAACUCAUCUUUGACACCAUUUGUGUGGUCAGGAAGUGUGAAUGUGGUGCAGAAAACACUGACUCUGGAAAGUGACAUUCUGUGUGGAUUUUUGCUGAGGCCACUGAAAGUGAACUGUGUCUUUUUUCCUGGAUGCUUGUGGCAUUGACUGAACAAUGAAUAUUUUUAACCCCUUGUACUUGUUUAAUUAAGUUGGAAAUGAAAGCUUGACUUACGAAAAUGUUAUAGAUCUCAUUCAUUAUUUGUCCAAAGAGAGGCAGAUAGAUUUAAUGAGGUUAGUUUUUUGUACCUGUGUGGGUCAAAUUAAUUUGCAAUGUCUGCAUCAUAGUUGCAAAACUCAGAUCUUUUGUUUAUUGAAUACAACCAUAAUUUGCUAAAGGACACAAAAAAGAAAAAUAGUACAACUCCAACUGUUCAGGAGCUUUUAUCAAAGAAAAUUUUUAUGAACACAAACACAAUUGACGAACAGGCCGCUACUUCGAAAACAUAACUAACAACCCCCCUGAUAUUGUUAACGCAAAUAUUAAGACAUGUCCAAAGCUGGUAAUUGAAUGCACUGAAUGCUGCCAGAUAAAAUAAAAUCUUUAGAAAGUCUCCACAGUAGGAUGGAGCGGGUAAAUGCUUUUCUCCAGAAUGAAAAAGGAAAAAUUGAGCUGCGGAUGGUGAAAUGAAAGAACAAAAAGAAUGAAUGAAAAUCAGAUAGGAGUUAUAUCAAGCUGUCACAGAAAAUGAAAGAAAAAAGCAAAUGCAAAGCCAAAUGAGAGGACUUCACACAAAAAAAUGGAAAA